AGGAACUCUCAUCUCUCAUUUACCGGUUAAGAUCAUCACUGAAGCAGAAAAGCUUGAACUUUUCAAUGAAGGAGACUUUUUUUUUUAUCUGUACGGAUUCCCUUGAUGCUAGUUUGCUUCCUUACAGUUUUCGAUUUUAUAUUUUUAACAAGAAUGUGCACUAAUUUGUGUUCAUAGUGAUAUUUACCUUGGACUGAUUCCUUGUCUUUACCACUGGUUUGCAUUCGCUAUCGGGCUUCGGCCAUCGUUUGGAUCCCCUUCAAUCUAAGCAGGGAUUUCCAGUAACACCUGCAAAACCCCCCCGCUCCAAUCAGUUUGUGUGUUGUUUGAAGAGAACACUGUGUUUUUUUUUGUCUUAAUGGAAAGACAAAAGGAAAAGGCUUUGUUUAGUGGCUUGAAGCUUAGAAUAGAAGUCAAUCCAUUAAAUGUGUGAUGCUCAUCAAACAGAAAGGUCUGUGAGGAAUUACAGGAUUGCAACAUGUGACUUUUUUGUGUGAUCCAAGCUCUGCUUUGCUCAAACAACGAAGUUUGCAGAUAUCGUUGGGUUGAAAGAUACAAAUAUGCAAUUUUGCUCUGUUAUGUCCCUCUCCUGCAGAUGUAUUGUAACUCUGGCUGUGAAAGCAAAAACAAAAGCAGAAGGUCUUGUUUGGUAAUGCUGCCAUCUAGUGGCCAUUCUGGAUUCUGCUAGACAUUUAGGGGAUUACAGAUUACUUUUAAGUUCAUGAUUGUUUCGUGGAGCAUUAAAGUAAAUUUUAGUUAUUGAAUUGAGCGAUCAGAGCAAGUUGGAUUUUGCUUUUCUUACAUGAAGCUUUUUUGAAAACGUUACUAAAAUUAAUUGUUUAUGCUCUUAUUAGCUCUUCCCUCUCACCUGCAAAGUAUUUGUACCCCUGGUACUUUUCCCAAAUUAGGUCACAUCACAACUACAACCUGCAGUGUGUUUUACUGAGUUUGUACGUGUUACACCAACACAUAGUAGUGCAGGGGAAGGAAAGUUGUUUUUCAAAAUUUUGUGUCUGCCAUUUGUGUUCAUCUCCCCUAAACCAAUAUGUUGUAGAACUACAUUUCACAUAAAUUACCACUGUAAGUUUUUUGGGUCAUGUCGCUAACAGCUUUGUACAGCUAGAGGCAAAUUUCUGCCCAUUCUUCUGAGCAAAAUAGCUCCAGGUCAGUCAUAUGUGUUUCCGGAAAUUCUCAAAUGGAUUUAGGUCUGGACUUUGACUGGGCCAUUCUAAGACAUGGACAUGCUGAUAUUAAAGCAUCCCAUUUUAACUUUGGCUGACUGUGUUUAGGGCCUAACAGGCUUCUGUCAGAUUUUCUUCCAGUGAUGCUCUGUAUUUAGCUCCAUCUAUCUUGAUAUCAACUCGGAUCAAUUUGAAACAGAGAAAUAGCUCUUCGCCUCACUGGUAAAAUCAGAAGUCAGCUUCAGCUUUGUGUUGUAUCAUGAUGGGGAUGUGAAAGGAAAACAGGGUAUUUAACGUAACUAGGGCAAUGUAAGGUAAAAAGAAAUACUGUUAAAAUUGAGUCUGCAAAAGAAAGGAAUUAUAAUGUAGAACGUUUCUAGGAAAACUGCACCUUCACUUUAAAAAAAAAAAAAAUUCAUAUUGUUUGAUUAACAAAAGCACUUCAAAAAGUCCGAACUAUUUAUCACUUAGAAUCCUUUGUCCUGGUUUGGUACCUGUGAAGCUAUGCUUGUUUCUAUUCCUAAUGAUCAUCUCGGCUUCUUUUCCUUUAGUUUCUGCCUCAAACAGUGCAGGAUUCUUGUUACAUCUAUGUUGUGUCAGCAUUGCUACCAUUUAUGUAGGUGGCGUUCUUUUUGUUGUCCUUUUCAGUCUUUCAUGACUCAACUGAGUAUUUAAGUGUACUGACAUUUUUGCUAUUUCACCCAAUAAGAGGGGGUGAACGCUCGAUUGAAGUUGUGUUAAAAUGUGUCAUGCUUGUGGUUAAGGAGGACUCAAGCGCAGAGCGUGGUGAUGAUCAAAAAGGUUAAUGAAUUAAGAGAACUUACUGCAAAGAGGAACAGUGCAGAGAAAAAAAAA